rnacentral:rRNA from 1 species
AUUGAACGCUGGCGGCAGGCCUAACACAUGCAAGUCGAGCGGAUGAAGGGAGCUUGCUCCUGGAUUCAGCGGCGGACGGGUGAGUAAUGCCUAGGAAUCUGCCUGGUAGUGGGGGAUAACGUCCGGAAACGGGCGCUAAUACCGCAUACGUCCUGAGGGUGAAAGUGGGGGAUCUUCGGACCUCACGCUAUCAGAUGAGCCUAGGUCGGAUUAGCUAGUUGGUGGGGUAAAGGCCUACCAAGGCGACGAUCCGUAACUGGUCUGAGAGGAUGAUCAGUCACACUGGAACUGACACACGGUCCAGACUCCUACGGGAGGCAGCAGUGGGGAAUAUUGGACAAUGGGCGAAAGCCUGAUCCAGCCAUGCCGCGUGUGUGAAGAAGGUCUUCGGAUUGUAAAGCACUUUAAGUUGGGAGGAAGGGCAGUAAGUUAAUACCUUGCUGUUUUGACGUGACCAACAGAAUAAGCACCGGCUAACUUCGUG